rnacentral:rRNA from 1 species
AGAGUGAACGCUGGCGGUAGGCCUAACACAUGCAAGUCGAACGGCAGCACAGGAGAGCUUGCUCUCUGGGUGGCGAGUGGCGGACGGGUGAGGAAUACAUCGGAAUCUACCUUUUCGUGGGGGAUAUCGUAGGGAAACUUACGCUAAUACCGCAUAAGACCUUCGGGUGAAAGCCGGGGACCUUCGGGCCUGGCGCGGAUAGAUGAGCCGAUGUCGGAUUAGCUUGUUGGCGGGGUAAAGGCCCACCAAGGCGACGAUCCGUAGCUGGUCUGAGAGGAUGAUCAGCCACACUGGAACUGAGACACGGUCCAGACUCCGUACGGGAGGCAGCAGGUGGGGAAUAUUGGACAA